CUUAUCAAGAGUGGUUGAGGGACCGGCCCUUAGAAACCCGACAACCUGCCCCCCUGUGGGGUAAGGUGCCAAUUCCGGCAGCGCAUAUGCGCUGAAAGAUGAG
rnacentral:ncRNA from 1 species